CGAGACUCCCUCUCAAAAAAAAAAAAAAAACUGUUAGGUAUAUAUUACGGUAUAUAUAUUAAGGCAGACCUGGGUCGGUCUCAUACUGGAAUGCCUAUUAGCUGCAUGAGGGGAAACAGUAACCAGAAAGUAGAGGACUGGACAACAUCUGGACCAAGGGAUCAAAAUUAACAUCAAUAAGGAAGUCGCUAUGCACAGUUCACACUUAAGGACUGAGGAAGAGUUAUGUUCCAUCUCCUUGAAGUCCUAGAAUCAGGCGUUUCUUUAAGAGGCCCUACUUCCUCUAAUUGGAUAAUUCUAGAAACCGGUAUUUGAAUCUGAGGUCUUUAAAUGGAUUCAUUUGAAAAUCAGAGUCCUCCAUUAUCAAUAAAAGUAUUAUGAUGUGGCUGCUCUAGAAUAGCAGAAAGUUAAAAAACAAACUUAAAAUCAGACAACCAGUAAUAUUAAAUUUUCUCCGGGUGCACAUUAUUUAGUUCCUCAUUAACUUAAUUGUUUUCCAGUAAAAGUGAAGUGCACAAUAUGAAAAUUAAAUAAUAUUACAUGUCAGAGUUUAAAAGAAAUAUUCAUUUAACAUUGGAAUAGGUUUUUUCCCCAGGAAAUCUUGUUCAUUUAUUUUGUGAGAAUUUUUGUUUGUCGCUAUUUGUUCAAAACAUAAUACAAUUGUGAGACCCAGUGCCUGCUGGCAAAGUUGGAAUAGCUGUCAGCAGGAAAUGGCAAACUAAUAAUAAGUGCUGGUAAAAUAUUUAUAUUAUAGUUUACUGGGAAGCUGAGUGUAGUUUUGUAUUUCAUUAGUGCUUGA
rnacentral:lncRNA from 1 species